rnacentral:rRNA from 1 species
AGAGUUUGAUUAUGGCUCAGGAUGAACGCUGGCGGCGUGCCUAAUACAUGCAAGUCGAACGAAACUUCUUUAUCACCGAGUGCUUGCACUCACCGAUAAAGAGUUGAGUGGCGAACGGGUGAGUAACACGUGGGCAACCUGCCCAAAAGAGGGGGAUAACACUUGGAAACAGGUGCUAAUACCGCAUAACCAUAGUUACCGCAUGGUAACUAUGUAAAAGGUGGCUAUGCUACCGCUUUUGGAUGGGCCCGCGGCGCAUUAGCUAGUUGGUGGGGUAAAGGCUUACCAAGGCAAUGAUGCGUAGCCGAACUGAGAGGUUGAUCGGCCACAUUGGGACUGAGACACGGCCCAAACUCCUACGGGAGGCAGCAGUAGGGAAUCUUCCACAAUGGGCGAAAGCCUGAUGGAGCAACGCCGCGUGGGUGAAGAAGGUCUUCGGAUCGUAAAACCCUGUUGUUAGAGAAGAAAGUGCGUGAGAGUAACUGUUCACGUUUCGACGGUAUCUAACCAGAAAGCCACGGCUAACUACGUGCCAGCAGCCGCGGUAAUACGUAAGUGGCAAGCGUUAUCCGGAUUUAUUGGGCGUAAAGGGA